UGCCCCUGUUCCCGCCGCGCGUGUAACUACUAAUUCUUUCUUCACUCGAUCACACCGUACGAUCGGCGUGUUCAUUCGUUGUUAACUUGUGCUUUUAACUGAAGCCGGAUGUUGUACAGAAUACAGAGUUGCCAGUAAACCAAGUUCUUUCAUAUGGUACAAAGAAACCCAUUUCGCCGGGAUUAUUUGGAUAAGCUUUGGCUUUGAAGUCUUGAUGUCAUGACGGAGUAGAGAUGUUUAGUCAGACUAAUCUAGAAUUGAACGGAGAGCACAACUUUGCUGAUAGUGGAACUAGCCAGCCCUCUGAUUUUGACAUCUACUUGGUUCUUCUCACGUCAGUUUCUUUUUGUGUCUGCUCACAUCUGUUCAUGAAUUAACAGGUGAAAUAAAUGGAGAAGUAAAUACAAAGUGUGUGGAUGAAUUACUGAAACUUGCUUCUUAUCAUGAAGAUGUGGACUUACAUAUAUAUAGGGAAAGCAUUACUCACACAAGCGAAGCGUCUACCAAAAACGCCACCGAAACGUGGGAGCUUUGGAGGCACUUUUAAGAACGCCGCCGAAUGUGGGAGCUUUGGAGGCACUUUGAAGAACGCUGCCGAUUGUCAGUCUUUGGAGGCGAGACUGGAAUACGCCUUCCUUGAUCUUUCCCUUCGGGGUUAUUUCUAGCGUUUUGGAGGAACGACUCCAAAAACAUGUAAAGGCAUCUAUGUGUCAUCUAGAGGCAUUUUAGAAUGUGUUGUAAUAUCUGUCGUGUUGUAGUGGAAGAGCUGCAGUUCACUCUGCAAGUGGCCAAGCGCCGGAUAAUUUUCUAUGGGGCGUAUGUGA